rnacentral:lncRNA from 1 species
ACUUGGAUGGAGAGUUGUCUCAUUGGCACUCAUACCACAUCUCCCUAUAUCUAUGUGCACUAAGUUUCAAGUUGAUGUGAGCACAAACUAUCUAAAACCAAAUAGUAAGUCUCUGAUUUUGAACAAACAGACAAACAGACUGAUCAACGGACCCAAAGACCCGGCACAUUUUUUCUUCUCUUUCAGCUAUAUUUUCUGGACAAAGAUUUUAUUCUUCCAAUGUGGACAACUGUUGAUAUUCUACUCAGGACAAAUCUAAUAGAACUCUUAUCAAUAUAUGUAAUUACCCAAACCAAAUGAAG